GCUGAUUCGAAACAUAGUAUCAGACACAUCGGGAUGUGUAGGUCACUGAUUGUGACGAGCGCUGCUCCUGUCCAAGACAGAUUUAGAGCACAACCAACCGGUAGAAGGUCUUUUCGUCGAACCACGGCAGAGUCUGAGCCUUCAUUCAUUGCUUUAAAUCCUUACCAGUGAUAAUCAUCGAACCAUAUUUCGAUGGAGAGUUUCUGGGAUAGCUGGAACGACAAAAACCGAUACCCAUGCUAAGAUAUAAUUAGUCAACCGACGUUCUGAGGGACCCCAACCAGACAAUGGACAGAGCAUCGCCACCGCCAGACAAG
rnacentral:lncRNA from 1 species